rnacentral:rRNA from 1 species
UACGUAGGGUGCGAGCGUUGUCCGGAAUUAUUGGGCGUAAAGAGCUCGUAGGCGGUCUGUCGCGUCGGCUGUGAAAACUCGGGGCUCAACUCCGAGCUUGCAGUCGAUACGGGCAGGCUAGAGUUCGGCAGGGGGAGGACUGGAAUUCCUGGUGUAGCGGUGAAAUGCGCAGAUAUCAGGAGGAACACCGGUGGCGAAGGCGGGUCUCUGGGCCGAUACUGACGCUGAGGAGCGAAAGCGUGGGGAGCGAACAGG